AACACUGGUUGUGGUGAGAGAUGGGAACACUGGCAGGCUGGCACACUCCCAUCCAAGUAGACUAUAGAACGUAUAUAGUCUCUUUGCUCCCAUCCCCGGCCGACAGACAGACUUCCAACAGACACUGGGGCACCAAAGCAGCUGACCUCAGACAAACCACCUUUGGACGGUACAGGCAGCCGAUAAUCAUGGUGCCCCGGUGUACAUGGUUUCUACGUAGGGUGUACACCAGCCCAGUUUAGCUGUGUGAGCUGUUCUUCUGCCCAACACCCAUUUGAAUCUGGUGGAACAGGAAGCUUCCAAGAUACUCAGGGGCAAGACAUAGGAAAAGAAAGAAGGGAAGACAGGGAACUAAGUGAAAAGAAGAUUGCACAAGAUAGAAAUGAAUUGGUCAUCAGUUGCAUGGUGACUGUACAGAGGGCAGAUAGCUGAUGCAGCAGUUCCUCUACCAGAUGUGGUGCACAGUCUUGCCAGGUGUGAUAAUCUUUUAACAAGCCAGCUGUUAUGUCCUGGAUGGAGAGAGGGCUUGCACACUGGAGUGGGAUGGUUCUGCAGUCAAGCUUUGGUAGCUGUCUGUUGGGGAAAAAGG